rnacentral:rRNA from 1 species
UACAGAGGGUGCGAGCGUUAAUCGGAAUUACUGGGCGUAAAGCGUGCGUAGACGGUAGCGUAAGUCAGAUGUGAAAGCCCCGGGCUCAACCUGGGAAUUGCAUUUGAGACUGCUCUGCUCGGGUGCGGAAGAGGGAAGCGGAAUUUCCGGUGUAGCGGUGAAAUGCGUAGAUAUCGGAAGGAACACCAGUGGCGAAGGCGGCUUCCUGGUCCGACACCGACGUUCAGGCACGAAAGCGUGGGGAGCAAACAGG